rnacentral:rRNA from 1 species
CUACGGGUGGCAGCAGUAGGGAAUCUUCGGCAAUGGACGGAAGUCUGACCGAGCAACGCCGCGUGAGUGAAGAAGGUUUUCGGAUCGUAAAGCUCUGUUGUAAGAGAAGAACGAGUGUGAGAGUGGAAAGUUCACACUGUGACGGUAUCUUACCAGAAAGGGACGGCUAACUACGUGCCAGCAGCCGCGGUAAUACGUAGGUCCCGAGCGUUGUCCGGAGUUAUUGGGCGUAAAGCGAGCGCAGGCGGUUAGAUAAGUCUGAAGUUAAAGGCUGUGGCUUAACCAUAGUACGCUUUGGAAACUGUUUAACUUGAGUGCAGGAGGGGAGAGUGGAAUCCCAUGUGUAGCGGUGAAAUGCGUAGAUAUAUGGAGGAACACCGGUGGCGAAAGCGGCUCUCUGGUCUGUAACUGACGCUGAGGCUCGAAAGCGUGGGGAGCAAACAGGAUUAGAUACCCGAGUAGUC